rnacentral:rRNA from 1 species
GACGAACGCUGGCGGCGUGCUUAACACAUGCAAGUCGAACGGAAAGGCCCUGCUUUUGUGGGGUGCUCGAGUGGUGAACGGGUGAGUAACACGUGAGUAACCUGCCCUUGACUUUGGGAUAACUUCAGGAAACUGGGGCUAAUACCGGAUAGGAGCUCCUGCUGCAUGGUGGGGGUUGGAAAGUUUCGGCGGUUGGGGAUGGACUCGCGGCUUAUCAGCUUGUUGGUGGGGUAGUGGCUUACCAAGGCUUUGACGGGUAGCCGGCCUGAGAGGGUGACCGGCCACAUUGGGACUGAGAUACGGCCCAGACUCCUACGGGAGGCAGCAGUGGGGAAUAUUGCACAAUGGGCGAAAGCCUGAUGCAGCAACGCCGCGUGCGGGAUGACGGCCUUCGGGUUGUAAACCGCUUUCGCCUGUGACGAAGCGUGAGUGACGGUAAUGGGUAAAGAAGCACCGGCUAACUACGUG